AGGAGGCGGGGAUGUCCCAGCAGCAGGCUCAGCAUUGCCACGCCUCCUCCCAGUAAUGCAUCUGUGACAGCCGGCUAGGACAAGUCACGGGGCAGCACACUGCGGCACCAGAGUUUUGAAGUCAGAUUCUCCGUGGUGAUCUGGGGGCUUCUGUGGAGACUCAUCACAAAUUGGUUCCGCAUGCAAAUAAAAAGUUUUAUUGUGCAGGACAAGAUAUAAAAGGGAUGAAAAGGAUACAUUUACUGGACAUAUCCCAGCUAGCAUAAGGAUGGCAGAGCAGUGAGCAGAGAUUCAUAUCACACUGGAUGGGAAUAUGAGUGAACCGGAGGCAACAAUGCAAUCGGAUAUCUGUUCCAUGAAUCCAGAGCAAAAUAAGACCUUGGCAGGAAGGACUGAUUUGUCAAGUAAUGUGCCUCUGUGUCCUGCUCUGUGAUGUACAGUAUACAUGAAACCAUGGGCCUUGAUGAGCCUCCAGCCGAGAGCUUUCCCCAGCUAUAAUAACCUAUGACUGCAAUGCACACACUUCUUACUGUAUAAUAGUUUGUUCAUUCUGCAAACACCUGGGAUGUGGGUAGGGGUGCUUUUUAUGUUUUUUUAUUUGGUGACAUAAAACUUUCUGGUUGGACAGGAAAUGACUUUCACUUUCUGUUCAUUUCUAGAAGCUGAGGAGGGAUUUAAAGAUCUGAGAGGAAUGUAUGAAAUGAUGCAAGAGGGAGAACUGGGGAGCGAGAUGAGCAGGUGGGAAGGCUGAAAGGAAAGGGGGAGAGAAAAAUAAGGAUGAAUGGAGAGGAAAGGGAAUUCAGAGGGGAAUAGAAGAGUGCAAGGAAGAAGGGAAAAAAGGAAUGAAGGAAUAGAAAGUACACAGGAGAACUGGUGUGUGUGUGUGUGUGUGUGUGUGUGUGUGUGUGUGUGUGUGUGUGUGUACACACACACAUGCAUACAUACACAUGUGCACACAUAGAUGUGUAUCACUUUGAUACUAUUACCACUUUCUGUGACUUGAAAUAGGUGAUAUACGGUAUAGGACAAAUUGCAGUAUUCUAUAGCAACCAAUCAGGCUUUUGUUUUUUUUUAACUUGAGCUCAAUUUAACAGGGCAAAUUUAUGAUUGGUUGUUUGAGUUAUUGCCACCUAAAACUUACUUUCACUGGAUGGGCAAAAUGUGUCUUAUUGAAACCAUAGAGACAAUAUCAGUUUUCCAGCACCUUCAACCAGCUGAGGAAUGUGAGUACUUUUUCGGGGAGGAAAAAGACAGCUGGAAGCCCCAGCCCCAGAGUACCCACCUAUGAUAUAUAUUUUUAUAGCUAUAUGAGCAUAUACUGUAUUUCCCAGUGCUUUCCCAUCCUGCUGUAAGGAAGUACAGGAAAUACCAGUAAAGCAGGACAGAUGUUGAAGCAUUGUCCAUUACAAUGGGGUUAAUAAUAUUCUGAGGCAGAGACCUGUGUUCUAGGUGGUAUUACCGGCUUCCUGCAGGAGAUACAGUAUAAAAUCCUAAGCAUCUGGUCUUUAGAUCUUGAACUUUCCGAUUCAAUCUCUGAGAUCUCCGAGUCAUAUGUAGGAUUAUUGGUAUAGCAGUUCAGAAUUUGCAUAACUGGCAUUGUGGUACAGCUUAGCUAUAGGUCCCGAGUGAGUUAUUAGUUGUGGGCUUACACUGGGUUUACUGUUAGCGUCUUAAGAUAAACACUAGAACAGGAUUUAGUGUAAAACUAGUAGCUGAUUCUUGGUUCGGUUCUUAGUCUAUUAUAUUGUUAAUGUGUGUCUACAAGAAUUGGUAAGAGAAGCUUGCAUUAAUAAAUAUAAAGUAUACUAUGCUUGUAUUUCUCACUUCCUCAAGAUGGGUUACAAUAUAAGAUAAAAUGGCCAGCAGAAAUCAAAAUGUUCUAUUCUCAAGUAUGUAUAUUUUAUUUUUUACAUGUAUAUUUAAAUAUUUUGCAUUCCCAUCAA